rnacentral:rRNA from 1 species
UCCGUAGGUGGCAAGCGUUGUCCGGAAUUAUUGGGCGUAAAGCGCGCGCAGGCGGUUUUUUUAGUCUGAUGUGAAAGCCCACGGCUCAACCGUGGAGGGUCAUUGGAAACUGGAGAACUUGAGUACAGAAGAGGAAAGCGGAAUUCCACGUGUAGCGGUGAAAUGCGUAGAGAUGUGGAGGAACACCAGUGGCGAAGGCGGCUUACUGGUCCGGAUCUGACGCUGAGGCACGAAAGCGUGGGGAGCAAACAGG